ACAUCCAGAGAACUUAGCAGAGAUGCUUUGGUGCCUUCGGGAACUCUGAGGACAGGUGCUGCAUGGCUGUCGUCAGCUCGUGUUGUGAAAUGUUGGGUUAAGUCCCGNAACGAGCGCAACCCUUAUCCUUUGUUGCCAGCGGUUCGGCCGGGAACUCAAAGGAGACUGCCGGUGAUAAACCGGAGGAAGGUGGGGAUGACGUCAAGUCAUCAUGGCCCUUACGGCCAGGGCUACACACGUGCUACAAUGGCGCAUACAAAGAGAAGCGACCUCGCGAGAGCAAGCGGACCUCAUAAAGUGCGUCGUAGUCCGGAUUGGAGUCUGCAACUCGACUCCAUGAAGUCGGAAUCGCUAGUAAUCGUAGAUCAGAAUGCUACGGUGAAUACGUUCCCGGGCCUUGUACACACCGCCCGUCACACCAUGGGAGUGGGUUGCAAAAGAAGUAGGUAGCUUAACCUUCGGGAGGGCGCUUACCACUUUGUGAUUCAUGACUGGGGUGAAGUCGUAACAAGGUAGGCGUAGCGAG
rnacentral:rRNA from 1 species